CAGAAACACACAGCCAACUAUCCCCCAAGUGCUUGUGCUUGAACUUUCAGAACAUAAGAAAAUUGUGUUAAGCUGGAUCUGCAAGUACAAAUGGAGAGUGAAAUGGGUUCUAUAGAAUCCAAAUGACACAAUCUUUCCUCCUGCUAAGAAUUACUGGCUAUUGAACCAAUUCCUGCCUAUUAACUGUGAGGUGAAGUCCAAGAUCCACAGUCAAGCAUUCAAAGAUCCAACCUGAUUUUUCUCUGCAUAACUGUUUUACUAGGAGUAAGACUGACUUGCCUGGUUUACCAAGACAGGCUGUGAGAAUUCUUCCCACUUACCUUUACUGAGUCAAUGUGGACAGUUUGAAAUAACUUGAACCAUUCUUCUUACAUUUUUAAAUCCUACACAAGCCUCAAAACAAAAUCCAAGUCACUUUUCCUCUGUGGGAUCUUCACUGAGCCCCCCAGCAGGCAUUCCUCUUGCUAUCUCCUGUGCGAAUAGCUCUGAAGGUCUGUAUUGCAAAUAUGACAGUCAACACACCGGCUAAGGUAGAACAAAAAGUGGCAUUAUUAAGCUGAAAAAAGCCCGGACCAAAAUGAAAGAUUCUUAUUGUGGGAGCAAUUGCUCACACUCACCAAUAGCUGCUUGUUUCCUUCUUGGGCACACAGAAAUUACAAUUCCCAACUUUCCUGCAGUUGGAUAGAGCCAUGUGAGUAAUUCCAGCCUGGGGACUCUGACUAGAGAUGAAAAUCCCCUCCAUGGUGGAGCAAAAUCCCCUGAGUGGCCCUCCGGCCUUCUGUUCUCCAGCUGUGCUAACCUGGAAGCCACACAUUGAGAUGACAGAGCAGCAAAGUGGAGACAGGCCAUGUCUCUGAGUCACCAUGUGACCCACAGGAGAUUUUGAGUAAAUUAAAAUACAAAUCUUUGUCAUAAUAAACCACAGAUAUUUCAGCAAUGAUUUGCAACCAUAGCGUAAGAUAACCUAUCAUGGCUAAUGCUCCUAGGUUCUCAACCUGUAUCCACCAGUAACUAGGUAGCUUGGGCAAAUUAUCUUCUAUGCAACCUCUGGUUGAUAAUGAAUUCCUUUUAUAAGUAAGAGAAUGAGCUGGAACCCAAAUGUGUACAGAGGAAAUCUGAAUGAAGUGGGAAGGGUAAGAUGCAGAGUGAGUGGAGACUUCACUCAUUGUUGAAAGAGGGCAGUUGCUACUCGGUUAUUACUGAUGCUUACAUGAAGAAAUCCAGUUUUAAUAUAACCACAUCUUGCCAUUUCUCAAGGGAAGUCAUGUACUAUCUGUGUGUCUGUCCUUCAUAUAGCUCCAUCAAUAU
rnacentral:lncRNA from 10 species